ensembl:lncRNA LINC00343 long intergenic non-protein coding RNA 343
GGCUAUGGGAAAGAAACCUGGAAAGGUAGGGAGGUAUGGAUAUGGACAAGCUAUGCCAAGGAGCAGGGCUUUGUCAUGGAGAGUGACUAGGUGCUUUUACAUAGGAAAGUCACCUGAUAAUAUUAAAACCUGUGAAAUAUCACUCUGGUGGAAGUGUGAAUGAAUUUGAAAGGGGUGUAACACUGUUCUACUUUGUUUACUCCUCAGUACCCUUGGCUGUGUACAUUUGAGUAAAGAGAGCACUAUAAAAUCAAAAACCAAUGAAAUGGUUUCCAGAACACAGAACUAUUAAGCUUAAGAAAAGGACAGAAGGAACUGAAGAGAGAGGAACUGUUUUGGAGCAUCACACUUCCACCUCAGAAGAAAUAAGGAAGGAAGGAGGAGGGUGUUCCCACGGCUCUUCAACCAGGCCGGCUCUUCAGCCUACAUCCCCAUCUCAUCAAGUAAAAGGGAUUUUUCAACUGGACCAACCAGAUGGUUUAACAGUGCACUCCCACACCAUUCAACUACGCAAGGGAGAUACACUUAACAUAUGCAGUCGUAUAACACCUACUAACAUUUUCAAACAUUAAACCUUUAAAAAAGAGUUCUAAAGAAAUAGAAGCUUGAAGUAUCAUCUCUCAAGUAUAUAGACACUACUUCAUGGUGUGGUAAUAUAUGCAUAUAGAAGCUAGUAAACACCUCCAGGAGAUGCAAAAGGAAUUAGAACUGCCACAAGGUGCAAGCAAAACCUUGAGUCUCCAUUGAUGGUGAAGUAUUUUCACUAUUUGGCAUGUCUUCUCUAGUACCUAGAGCAGUGCGUUGCAUGCAGUAGCAGGUUUAUAAACAUUUGCGAGUAAAACAUCCAACCUGAUACUCAAGGUAAUCAAUCUGCAUCCCAUUUUGGAUGAGAAUAUUUGCAACUUUGAAGGUUAUUUUAAGGACAGCAGCAGAAGAAUUAUGGCAGGUAUCUGAAAUUCAUUUCUGUGCUUUGCCGAGGACCCAUGGGAUGCCAUUUGCAGAUGAGAAAACUAAAGAAUAGCUUUAUCUUCCAGCUCUUCACGGAAAAAAAAAUGGCAACAAUAAAAUCAGCAACUCCUGCCAAAUAAAUGGGCAUAAAAAAGAAAUCAUAGACUGCUGGCAAUGGUGGGGAAAAAGUUAUAAAAAUUGUCUCUGCACCAUCUUCCUUUUGUCCUCUAAAAUAUUCACAUUAGCAAAAGUAUAUAACAGCUGAUGAAGAAAUACUGAUAAUUUGUCUUUGUAAGUAUAUCGAAAACAUUUCAAGAUCUAGAAAUUUGAAAUUGUUGACAAGUAUUUAUCUGUUUAUUCACAAAUUUGAAAUCAACCUCAGGAAUGCUCAUUCUGAUUGAUAUACUUAGGUCAUAAAUUUUUAAGACCACAGAUUUCCAGGGACUUUUUGGAAAAUCACCCAGUAAAACAAUGUCUUUUUGCAGGGGACUAGCUUCAGUAUUUUGGCUUCUUUUUGCUUCUUUGCAACAAAUUGGGAGACAAAGGUGGGAAAGUUUUUUUCAAUAAGUUAAUAAUUUUUUAAAGGUCAAAAUUUUGUUCUUUGCUUAUAUUAGAAUUAAACACUGUGAGAUUCUCUCUGAGA